rnacentral:rRNA from 1 species
AGUGAACGCUGGCGGUAGGCCUAACACAUGCAAGUCGAACGGCAGCACAGUAAGAGCUUGCUCUUACGGGUGGCGAGUGGCGGACGGGUGAGGAAUACAUCGGAAUCUACUUUUUCGUGGGGGAUAACGUAGGGAAACUUACGCUAAUACCGCAUACGGCCUACGGGUGAAAGCAGGGGAUCUUCGGACCUUGCGCGAUUGAAUGAGCCGAUGUCGGAUUAGCUAGUUGGCGGGGUAAAGGCCCACCAAGGCGACGAUCCGUAGCUGGUCUGAGAGGAUGAUCAGCCACACUGGAACUGAGACACGGUCCAGACGCCUACGGGAGGCAGCAGUGGGGAAUAUUGGACAAUGGGCGCAAGCCUGAUCCAGCCAUACCGCGUGGGUGAAGAAGGCCUUCGGGUUGUAAAGCCCUUUUGUUGGGAAAGAAAAGCAGCAGGUUAAUACCCCGCUGUUCUGACGGUACCCAAAGAAUAAGCACCGGCUAACUUCGU